GAUGAACGCUAGCUACAGGCUUAACACAUGCAAGUCGAGGGGAAACGAUAGAGAAAGCUUGCUUUUUCUAGGCGUCGACCGGCGCACGGGUGAGUAACGCGUAUCCAACCUGCCCAUCACUUGGGGAUAACCUUGCGAAAGUAAGACUAAUACCCAAUGACGUCUCUAGAAGACAUCUGAAGGAGAUUAAAGAUUUAUCGGUGAUGGAUGGGGAUGCGUCUGAUUAGCUUGUUGGCGGGGUAACGGCCCACCAAGGCGACGAUCAGUAGGGGUUCUGAGAGGAAGGCCCCCCACAUUGGAACUGAGACACGGUCCAAACUCCUACGGGAGGCAGCAGUGAGGAAUAUUGGUCAAUGGACGAGAGUCUGAACCAGCCAAGUAGCGUGCAGGAUGACGGCCCUAUGGGUUGUAAACUGCUUUUAUAAGGGAAUAAAGUGAGUCUCGUGAGACUUUUUGCAUGUACCUUAUGAA
rnacentral:rRNA from 1 species